rnacentral:lncRNA from 1 species
CUCUCGCACCCAUCGCUCGGCGGCUUUACGCCACAGGGUGAAUUGCGACCUCACCCUGCUCCCCCUGGCUGGACUCUAGCUUCGCCCAGGCCCCCUCCAGUAUGAGCAUUGAUGCUUCCGUAGCCAGUGUUUUUAGUUGUUUUGUCUUGUGGCUUAGCCGCCCACGGGCCCAGAUGUGGGUGGGAGUGGGGUGGCUGCCGGGCUGGAAGCUGAGGAUUUAGCCAGAGACCCAGCCCAGAGCCCGGCCGGACUUACAGAUUCUCUCCCUCCCCAGCAAUCUACAAACAAAGGAAGGAAAGAGGAGAAAUGCCUAUUAGACUCAGUACCCGGGGUUCACCCACCUCUCCCAUUGGGAUGUCUAUUGUGCAAAGGAAGGGAAGGGGCCCGUUAAUCCUAGAACCUCAACCUCAGGACUAGGUUCUGAGGUUUUGGGUGUGGUUGCUUUUCCCUCAUCGAGAUCAACAAGGAAGGAGCAGAACUGCUCGGAUUGCUUUGUCAUGCGGAGUCACGAGGAUGGCCAUGUAAACAGUUUUGUUUGCAUAGGCUACCGGCUUCCGUACAGUAAGAAGUCUAGCUACGCUAACAGAUUAAACUUCACUCUGUAAAGGUUUACGAGUUAUUACCAUAUUACUGAAGGAAACGUUAGGAACAUAGCUGGUUUGCCUAGCAUGAACCAAAAGCUCCAGUUUGAUUCCCCAGCCCAAAGUCUGCUUUCUAGAAUAAAGAGCAGGUAGAAUUUUAUUUGAAGUGAAUUGAAAUUCAGAAAAUGUCUCCUUUGCAUAGUAUUUUAUUUUUAUUAGGAAGCAUGAGUCGGACCUUGUUUCAACAAGCAGAGUAUGUCUGAGUCAGACAUUUUGAGGCACAGACUCAGCCAGAGUGCUGAUCUUAUGAUUGAUGCGAUGACUUCAUUGGGGUAAGUUCCAGCAAUUGCCAGACGGGUUAUUGCUUCCUAGUUUGUUUUGUUUUCAAAGUAGAUCGUUUGGUGACUUCAACCCAGUAAUAAUAUUUCAAAAGAAUGGCAUCUGGACAAGAUAGAUUUUUUUUUCCGUAGCAUAGUUUUUGUUGCUUGUGCUGUGUUCACCCCUAGCCCCACCCCUUGGAGACUGGCCAUCACUCUGUAGCCCUGGUUGGCCUGGGAUGACUAUGUAAAUCAAGAGCUCACAAGAGAUUCUCUUGGUUCUGUCUUCCGAGUGUUGGAAUUAAAGACACGGACCAUCGUGCCCAGCAUGAUGUAAACAGAUUUUUUUAAAAAGUAUUUUAUAUCUGAGUGUUUUCCUUGUAUGUAUGUCUAUAUAGUACCUGUGUAUCUGGUACCUGAGGAGCUCAGGAGGGUACCAGAUACCCUAGAACUAUACAGACUGCUGAGUACUUGUGUGGCUGCUUGGGAAUCGAGCAGCUAGUGCUCUUAACUGCUCCAGCCCUCUAUAAACAGAUUU